UAGGGAAUCUUCGGCAAUGGACGGAAGUCUGACCGAGCAACGCCGCGUGAGUGAAGAAGGUUUUCGGAUCGUAAAGCUCUGUUGUAAGAGAAGAACGAGUGUGAGAGUGGAAAGUUCACACUGUGACGGUAUCUUACCAGAAAGGGACGGCUAACUACGUGCCAGCAGCCGCGGUAAUACGUAGGUCCCGAGCGUUAUCCGGAUUUAUUGGGCGUAAAGCGAGCGCAGGCGGUUAGAUAAGUCUGAAGUUAAAGGCUGUGGCUUAACCAUAGUACGCUUUGGAAACUGUUUAACUUGAGUGCAAGAGGGGAGAGUGGAAUUCCAUGUGUAGCGGUGAAAUGCGUAGAUAUAUGGAGGAACACCGGUGGCGAAAGCGGCUCUCUGGCUUGUAACGGACGCUGAGGCUCGAAAGCGUGGGGAGCAAACAGGAUUAGAUACCCUGGUAGUCCACGCCGUAAACGAUGAGUGCUAGGUGUUGGGUCCUUUCCGGGACUCAGUGCCGCAGCUAACGCAUUAAGCACUCCGCCUGGGGAGUACGACCGCAAGGUUG
rnacentral:rRNA from 1 species